rnacentral:rRNA from 1 species
GACGAACGCUGGCGGCGUGCUUAACACAUGCAAGUCGAACGGAAAGGCCCUGCUUUUGUGGGGUGCUCGAGUGGCGAACGGGUGAGUAACACGUGAGUAACCUGCCCUUGACUUUGGGAUAACUUCAGGAAACUGGGGCUAAUACCGGAUAGGAGCUCCUGCUGCAUGGUGGGGGUUGGAAUGUUUCGGCGGUUGGGGAUGGACUCGCGGCUUAUCAGCUUGUUGGUGGGGUAGUGGCUUACCAAGGCUUUGACGGGUAGCCGGCCUGAGAGGGUGACCGGCCACAUUGGGACUGAGAUACGGCCCAGACUCCUACGGGAGGCAGCAGUGGGGAAUAUUGCACAAUGGGCGGAAGCCUGAUGCAGCAACGCCGCGUGCGGGAUGACGGCCUUCGGGUUGUAAACCGCUUUCGCCUGUGACGAAGCGUGAGUGACGGUAAUGGGUAAAGAAGCACCGGCUAACUACGUGCCAGCAGCCGCGGUGAUACGUAGGGUGCGAGCGUUGUCCGGAUUUAUUGGGCGUAAAGGGCUCGUAGGUGGUUGAUCGCGUCGGAAGUGUAAUCUUGGGGCUUAACCCUGAGCGUGCUUUCGAUACGGGUUGACUUGAGGAAGGUAGGGGAGAAUGGAAUUCCUGGUGGAGCGGUGGAAUGCGCAGAUAUCAGGAGGAACACCAGUGGCGAAGGCGGUUCUCUGGGCCUUUCCUGACGCUGAGGAGCGAAAGCGUGGGGAGCGAACAGGCUUAGAUACCCUGGUAGUCCACGCUGUAAACGGUGGGUACUAGGUGUGGGGUCCAUUCCACGGGUUCCGUGCCGUAGCUAACGCUUUAAGUACCCCGCCUGGGGAGUACGGCCGCAAGGCUAAAACUCAAAGGAAUUGACGGGGCCCCGCACAAGCGGCGGAGCAUGCGGAUUAAUUCGAUGCAACGCGUAGAACCUUACCUGGGUUUGACAUGGAUCGGGAGUGCUCAGAGAUGGGUGUGCCUCUUUUGGGGUCGGUUCACAGGUGGUGCAUGGCUGUCGUCAGCCCGUGUCGUGAGAUGUUGGGUUAAGUCCCGCAACGAGCGCAACCCUUGUUCACUGUUGCCAGCACGUUAUGGUGGGGACUCAGUGGAGACCGCCGGGGUCAACUCGGAGGAAGGUGGGGAUGACGUCAAGUCAUCAUGCCCCUUAUGUCCAGGGCUUCACGCAUGCUACAAUGGCUGGUACAGAGAGUGGCGAGCCUGUGAGGGUGAGCGAAUCUCGGAAAGCCGGUCUCAGUUCGGAUUGGGGUCUGCAACUCGACCUCAUGAAGUCGGAGUCGCUAGUAAUCGCAGAUCAGCAACGCUGCGGUGAAUACGUUCCCGGG